rnacentral:rRNA from 1 species
UACGGAGGGUGCAAGCGUUAAUCGGAAUUACUGGGCGUAAAGGGUGUGUAGACGGUUUGAUAAGUUAAGUGUGAAAGACCUGGGCUUAACCUGGGGGUGUCACUUAAGACUGUUAGACUAGAGUAUGGGAGAGGGUAGUGGAAUUUCCGGUGUAGCGGUGAAAUGCGUAGAGAUCGGAAGGAACACCAGUGGCGAAGGCGGCUACCUGGCCCAAUACUGACGUUGAGGCACGAAAGCGUGGGGAGCAAAC